GCUUACGGCCAUACCACCCUUAAUGCGCCCGAUCUCGUCUGAUCUCGGAAGCUAAGCAGGGUCAGGCUGGUUAGUACUUGGAUGGGAGACCGCCUGGCGGAAUACCAGGUGCUGUAUGCC
rnacentral:rRNA from 1 species